rnacentral:rRNA from 1 species
GACGAACGCUGGCGGCGUGCCUAAUACAUGCAAGUAGAACGCUGAAGAGAGGAGCUUGCUCUUCUUGGACGAGUUGCGAACGGGUGAGUAACGCGUAGGUAACCUGCCUUGUAGCGGGGGAUAACUAUUGGAAACGAUAGCUAAUACCGCAUAACAAUAGGUGACACAUGUCAUUUAUUUGAAGGGGGCAAUUGCUCCACUACAAGAUGGACCUGCGUUGUAUUAGCUAGUAGGUGAGGUAACGGCUCACCUAGGCGACGAUACAUAGCCGACCUGAGAGGGUGAUCGGCCACACUGGGACUGAGACACGGCCCAGACUCCUACGGGAGGCAGCAGUAGGGAAUCUUCGGCAAUGGGGGCAACCCUGACCGAGCAACGCCGCGUGAGUGAAGAAGGUUUUCGGAUCGUAAAGCUCUGUUGUAAGUCAAGAACGAGUGUGAGAGUGGAAAGUUCACACUGUGACGGUAGCUU